GUUUCAUUCCAUACGCCGUUGUUUUCCCACAUGAAAGUUAUUGCUUAUAAGCAAAUUAGAACCUUUGAGAAGUAUCUCAAGGUACAUCCUUUCUAUUUAAAAUUUUUUUCUUGGUCAUCAAUUCGUCGGCACGUCAUGGCAGGUGUGCUGAAGAAGACCACUGGCCUUGUGGGAUUGGCUGUGUGCAAUACUCCACACAAGAGGCUAAGAAUAUUGUACACAAAGAUUCUCGAUGUUCUUGAGGAUAUCCCUAAAAAUGCAGCAUAUAGAAAAUAUACAGAACAGAUUAUAAAUGUGUUAAAGUGGAAUUAGAUGUUCAAAAAUUAGAAGACCAACUUCAAGGUGGUCAAUUAAAAGAGGUGAUUCUUCAGGCUGAACAUGAACUAAGACUAGCAAGAAAAAUGGUGCAGUGGAAAACAUGGGAGCCAUUAGUGAAAGAGCCUCCUGCCAAUCAGUGGAAAUGGCCAAUAUAAUUAUUAAGUGAUUUUGGUGGGCUGAUGGGAAACUGAUGUAAUGAAAUAUUCUGCUCUAUUAAGAGCGUGUUCAUAUUAUUGACAUAAUCAAGAAACUGAAAUAAAAAUAUCUAGGAAACUGUUAAAAUUAGUGAUUAUGAUAAUUUGGUCAUGUGAAUCCAUUUUUGAUUUGUAAAGUAGUCACACAAAUUAUUUCAAAGAUGAUAUUUCUAUGAACAGAGAGGUCAUGGGAAGAUGUGAGAAUCAGAAAAAUUCCUAAAGAUCUUCAAUGUAGAGGCCAUAAUCAAAAAGUAAAGUUUCUUUAGUAGUAGGUUCAAGAUAUCAUUCAAUUUUUAAAAUUAUCCUGAAGAAGAAAAGAAAAGGUCCUUAAUUAUUAUGGUCUAAACAAAUUUAUAGAUCACUGUUUGAAGUAAAAAAUAAGAGUGAUAUUUUCAAAUGUGAUAAAACAACAUAAAUGGCUGCUAAUAAAAUUUGAAAUUAUGGUUAACCUCCUUAACUGUGAUCUUAUGGAUGUAAAGUAAAAUUUAAAUAUAUAGUUAUAUAUUGAUUAUAAAAUCCAUAAUGCCAUUUUGUUUGUCAUUAUUUGAAUUAUACCAUUUACUCUGUUUUCUUAUAGUCUUAAUUUUAUUACAUUUUGUUGUUACUGUAUUAUAUUU